UCAAAAGAGGACCUCAUGUCCUCCCCGUGCCUGGGAAUGCUACUGUUCUCUUUGGGGAGAGCUCUGGUCUUCAGCUUUAUCUUGAGCAUCACUUCCGGGCUCCAGAACAGACAGAUUCCGCAGCCUUCUGGCACAGAUCCUUCAGUUGUUGGGUGCAGACUCUCUAACUUUCACCACUGGCCCUUGAGCCUUUUUGGUGCAGAUCCCCCUUGAUACAGACUCACAGGACACAUUGCACAGGCUCUGGGACUUCGGCUGGACUUGUUCAGGACAUUGCCAUGGGAUCCUGGCCCUUGGGCGGGAUCCUUUAGGUCUCUAGUGUGUGGAAAGACAUCCUGUGCUCUUUUGCAUCAGACUUUGCGAAUAGAGUCAACUUUGAGCGCUGCUUCCCAUUUCUGAGCUGAAGUUCUCCUGGGAGGAGACAUACUUGAGGAAUGAUGAGAACCUGUAGUCUGUUUGCCUUCCCAUGGAAUCUGUAUUCUCUCAUUGCAUCCAUCUGGACCACCAGAAAAUUGAAACCGAGUAAACCAUCUUGUUGUUUGAAAAUUGUUGGAGCAGAUCAUUUGGGGAAUCUUUGUUUUCUAUAUCCAUGCAGGUCAGGAACACUGUAACAACCUCAAGCCUGCCUUCUCGAACACACCUACAUUUUUGCUGUGCUGCAGAAAUUUCAGGAAGGACCCAGACUGCAGUGGGGGGCAGGAAGAAUCCAUGCUGGCCACAUCCUCCCCUCACCCCAGCUACGUUGAAGACCUAGGAGAGCUUCGAACUUGUGUUAAGCAUUGUUCAGUGGAAAGGACUUUGCUUUCAGACUUUAAGAGAGCAGUGGCUGUAUGGAGGAGGAGCAGGGCAAGUUUAUAAAUGCUCUAGGUCCUGCUGUCUUCCUGCUGUCAUGAGAGAAGGACCUACAGGCUUAUUCUGCUUUGAAUGGCAAAAGCUUUAAAUCGUAGCAUCUUUUCCUGCUCAGCUUGCUGGUGCCAGCUCUGUGUGUAACUCUGUAACUUGGCCAAGAACUGUUUCCUACAGUUUUACCUUUCUGUUUUACUUUCUUUUCAAAAAUACAGUCUU